AGAGUUUGAUCCUGGCUCAGGAUGAACGCUGGCGGCGUGCUUAACACAUGCAAGUCGAACGAAGCAAUAGGAAGGAAGUUUUCGGAUGGAAUUCAUAUUGACUGAGUGGCGGACGGGUGAGUAACGCGUGGGUAACCUGCCUCAUACAGGGGGAUAACAGUUAGAAAUGACUGCUAAUACCGCAUAAGCGCACAGAAUCGCAUGAUAAUGUGUGAAAAACUCCGGUGGUAUGAGAUGGACCCGCGUCUGAUUAGCUAGUUGGUGGGGUAAAGGCCUACCAAGGCGACGAUCAGUAGCCGACCUGAGAGGGUGAUCGGCCACAUUGGGACUGAGACACGGCCCAAACUCCUACGGGAGGCAGCAGUGGGGAAUAUUGCACAAUGGGGGAAACCCUGAUGCAGCAACGCCGCGUGAGUGAAGAAGUAUUUCGAUAUGUAAAGCUCUAUCAGCAGGGAAGAAGAUGACGGUACCUGAGUAAGAAGCCCCGGCUAACUACGUGCCAGCAGCCGCGGUAAUACGUAGGGGGCAAGCGUUAUCCGGAUUUACUGGGUGUAAAGGGAGCGUAGACGGCAUAGCAAGUCUGAAGUGAAAGCCCAAGGCUCAACCAUGGGACUGCUUUGGAAACUGUUAAGCUAGAGUGCUGGAGAGGUAAGCGGAAUUCCUAGUGUAGCGGUGGAAUGCGUAGAUAUUAGGAAGAACACCAGUGGCGAAGGCGGCUUACUGGACAGUAACUGACGUUGAGGCUCGAAAGCGUGGGGAGCAAACAGGAUUAGAUACCCUGGUAGUCCACGCCGUAAACGAUG
rnacentral:rRNA from 1 species